rnacentral:rRNA from 1 species
AUUGAACGCUGGCGGAAUGCUUUACACAUGCAAGUCGAACGGUAGAGGGGGCAACCCCUUGAGAGUGGCGAACGGGUGAGUAAUAUAUCGGAACGUGCCCAGUCGUGGGGAUAACGUAGCGAAAGUUACGCUAAUACCGCAUACGAUCUAAGGAUGAGAGCGGGGGAUCGCAAGACCUCGCGCGAUUGGAGCGGCCGAUAUCAGAUUAGGUAGUUGGUGAGGUAAAGGCUCACCAAGCCAACGAUCUGUAGCUGGUCUGAGAGGACGACCAGCCACACUGGAACUGAGACACGGUCCAGACUCCUACGGGAGGCAGCAGUGGGGAAUUUUGGACAAUGGACGCAAGUCUGAUCCAGCCAUUCCGCGUGCAGGAUGAAGGCCCUCGGGUUGUAAACUGCUUUUGUACGGAACGAAAGGUUUGUCUUAAUACGAUGAGCUCAUGACGGUACCGUAAGAAUAAGCACCGGCUAACUACGUGCCAG